AUACGUAGGUGACAAGCGUUAUCCGGAUUUACUGGGCGUAAAGGGCGUGUAGGCGGUCUUGCAAGUCAGAAGUGAAAUUCCUGAGCUCAACUCGGGCGCUGCUUCUGAAACUGCAGGACUUGAGUGCUGGAGGGGAUAGCGGAAUUCCUAGUGGAGCGGUAAAAUGCGCAGAUACUAGGAAGAACACCGGUGGCGAAGGCGACUAUGUGGGCAGUAACUGACACUGAGGCGCAAAAGCGUGCGGAGCAAACAGGAUUAGCUACCCUGGUAGUCCACGCGGUAAACGAUGAAUACUAGGUGUAGGGGGUAUCGACUCCCUCUGUGCCUCAGUUAACACAAUAAGUAUUCCGCCUGGGGAGUACGGCCGCAAGGUUGAAACUCAAAUGAAUUGACGGGG
rnacentral:rRNA from 1 species